rnacentral:sRNA from 1 species
UAAAGUCGUAACAAGGUUUCCGUAGGUGAACCUGCGGAAGGAUCAUUACAGAAUGAAAAGUGCUUAACUGCAUUUUUUCUUACACAUGUGUUUUUCUUUUUUUGAAAACUUUGCUUUGGUAGGCCUUCUAUAUGGGGCCUGCCAGAGAUUAAACUCAACCAAAUUUUAUUUAAUGUCAACCGAUUAUUUAAUAGUCAAAACUUUCAACAACGGAUCUCUUGGUUCUCGCAUCGAUGAAGAACGCAGCGAAAUGCGAUAAGUAAUAUGAAUUGCAGAUAUUCGUGAAUCAUCGAAUCUUUGAACGCACAUUGCGCCCUUUGGUAUUCCAAAGGGCAUGCCUGUUUGAGCGUCAUUUCUCCCUCAAACCCUCGGGUUUGGUGUUGAGCGAUACGCUGGGUUUGCUUGAAAGAAAGGCGGAGUAUAAACUAAUGGAUAGGUUUUUUCCACUCAUUGGUACAAACUCCAAAACUUCUUCCAANUCCGACCUCAAUCAGGUAGGACUACCCCGCUGAACUUAAGCAUAUCAAUAGCGGGGGGGGAAA